AUUGAACGCUGGCGGCAUGCCUUACACAUGCAAGUCGAACGGCAGCGGACCUUCGGGUGCCGGCGAGUGGCGAACGGGUGAGUAAUAUAUCGGAACGUACCUUUCAGUGGGGGAUAACGUAGCGAAAGUUACGCUAAUACCGCAUAUUCUGUGAGCAGGAAAGCAGGGGAUCGCAAGACCUUGCGCUGAUUGAGCGGCCGAUAUCAGAUUAGCUAGUUGGUGAGGUAAAGGCUCACCAAGGCGACGAUCCGUAGCUGGUCUGAGAGGAUGAUCCGCCACACUGGAACUGAGACACGGUCCAGACUCCUACGGGAGGCAGCAGUGGGGAAUUUUGGACAAUGGGCGCAAGCCUGAUCCAGCCAUGCCGCGUGAGUGAAGAAGGCC
rnacentral:rRNA from 1 species